UUUGUCGGUACCGAGAAAUCUCAUCUUCAACAAAAAUGGGCUGGAAGUUCUUCGUUGGCGGCAACUGGAAAUGCGUUCCGAAGAAGAGCUUUGAACUGUUUCCUUCAAUCUAUGAAAAUGUACAAGUCGAGACCUCCAAGCACUCCAUUGCGAUGUAGAGGUCACCGAGAUCACGAUCGAUUUGGAGCUGCCAGGAAUUGUUAACGGCAUGGUGGAGUUUGAAGAGAAUGAGAGUGUGAUUACUGGUGAACUCGGUUAUUACACUAAGCGCACAAUGCCGAACCGGAAGCUGUUGAACUUUUAAUGGAGGUUGAAGACCUUGAUCUGUUAGUUGAGCAUGUUGAUAAGACAAAUUUUAAGAGGACUUGUCUCUACCUCACCAAUUCAGCAAGAAAUACCAUAAAGUGUAUUAGAGCACAUGGUUCCAUGAAUUCCAGUCUUCCACCAUCCCUAUCCCCAUCACUACCACCACUAGCUUGAAGUAAUAAAUUCUGUCAAACCAGUUGAAACGACACCUGUAAGGCCAGUAAGGAAGAUUCAACCAAGGCGCCGGAGAGAUAGGAGGACCCGGUAGUGUUUAUUUGUUUGUGUUUAUUUUGUUCUAAUGUUUUAUCAAGGAUGAUGUAUGAGA